AUGGAUCCAUGGGUCAGCAGCCAGCCUUCGCUGAGCCUUGACCUGCACGUCGGCCUCCCGCCGAUGGGGCACCCGCACAGCCACCACCAGGCGGCGCCGAUGGUCGCGCUGGCCAAGCCCAAGGUCCUCGUCGAGGAGAACUUCAUGCAGCUCAAGAAGGACCCUGAGGUUGCGGUUCUUGAGUCGGAGCUACAGCGGGUCAGCGAGGAGAACCGGCGGCUGGGCGAGAUGCUCAGGGAGGUGGCCUCCAAGUACGAGACCCUGCAGGGCCAGUUCACCGACAUGGUCACGGCCGGCGCCCACGCCGGCGGCAAUAACCACUACAACAACCAGCCGUCCUCCGCGUCGGAGGGCGGGUCGGUGUCGCCGUCGAGGAAGCGCAAGAGCGAGGAGAGCAACGGCACGCCACCGCCGUCGCACCAGCAGCAGCAGCAGCACUACGCCGGCGGCCUCGCGUACGCGGCGGCGCCGGACCAGGCGGAGUGCACGUCCGGCGAGCCGUGCAAGCGCAUCCGGGAGGAGUGCAAACCCGUCAUCUCCAAGCGCUACGUCCACGCCGACCCCGCCGACCUCAGCCUGGUGGUGAAGGACGGGUACCAAUGGCGCAAGUACGGGCAGAAGGUGACCAAGGACAACCCCUGCCCCAGAGCCUACUUCCGGUGCUCCUUCGCCCCCGGCUGCCCCGUCAAGAAGAAGGUGCAGAGGAGCGCCGAGGACAAGACCAUACUCGUGGCGACGUACGAGGGCGAGCACAACCACAGCCAGCCCCCGUCGUCGCAGCCGCAGCAGCAGAACGACGGCUCCGGCGCGGGCAAGAACGCCGGGAAGCCACCCCAGGCGCCGGCCACGCCUCACCACCCGCAGCAGCAUCAGCAGCAGCACAAGCAGGAAGCGCCAGCGGUAGCCGUCAGCGGCGAGUCCGCCGCCGCGGAAUCCGAGAUGAUCCGUCGGAACCUGGCGGAGCAGAUGGCCAUGACGCUGACGAGGGACCCCAGCUUCAAGGCGGCGCUCGUCACCGCCCUCUCCGGCCGGAUCCUCGAGCUAUCGCCGACCAGGGACAUAAAUUAA
rnacentral:rRNA from 1 species